GAUUGAACGCUGGCGGCAGGCCUAACACAUGCAAGUCGAACGGUAACCGGAAGAAGCUUGCUUCUUUGCUGACGAGUGGCGGACGGGUGAGUAAUGUCUGGGAAACUGCCUGAUGGAGGGGGAUAACUACUGGAAACGGUAGCUAAUACCGCAUAACGUCGCAAGACCAAAGAGGGGGACCUUCGGGCCUCUUGCCAUCGGAUGUGCCCAGAUGGGAUUAGCUAGUAGGUGGGGUAACGGCUCACCUAGGCGACGAUCCCUAGCUGGUCUGAGAGGAUGACCAGCCACACUGGAACUGAGACACGGUCCAGACUCCUACGGGAGGCAGCAGUGGGGAAUAUUGCACAAUGGGCGCAAGCCUGAUGCAGCCAUGCCGCGUGUAUGAAGAAGGCCUUCGGGUUGUAAAGUACUUUCAGCGGGGAGGAAGGGAGUAAAGUUAAUACCUUUGCUCAUUGACGUUACCCGCAGAAGAAGCACCGGCUAACUCCGUG
rnacentral:rRNA from 1 species